GGUGAAAAGCACCCCGGAAGGGGAGUGAAAUAGAACCUGAAACCGUGUGCUUACAAGUAGUCAGAGCCCGUUAAUGGGUGAUGGCGUGCCUUUUGUAGAAUGAACCGGCGAGUUACGAUUUGAUGCAAGGUUAAGCAGUAAAUGUGGAGCCGUAGCGAAAGCGAGUCUGAAUAGGGCGUUUAGUAUUUGGUCGUAGACCCGAAACCAGGUGAUCUACCCUUGGUCAGGUUGAAGUUCAGGUAACACUGAAUGGAGGACCGAACCGACUUACGUUGAAAAGUGAGCGGAUGAACUGAGGGUAGCGGAGAAAUUCCAAUCGAACCUGGAGAUAGCUGGUUCUCUCCGAAAUAGCUUUAGGGCUAGCCUCAAGUGAUGAUUAUUGGAGGUAGAGCACUGUUUGGACGAGGGGCCCCUCUCGGGUUACCGAAUUCAGACAAACUCCGAAUGCCAAUUAAUUUAACUUGGGAGUCAGAACAUGGGUGAUAAGGUCCGUGUUCGAAAGGGAAACAGCCCAGACCACCAGCUAAGGUCCCAAAAUAUAUGUUAAGUGGAAAAGGAUGUGGCGUUGCCCAGACAACUAGGAUGUUGGCUUAGAAGCAGCCAUCAUUUAAAGAGUGCGUAAUAGCUCACUAGUCGAGUGACACUGCGCCGAAAAUGUACCGGGGCUAAACAUAUUACCGAAGCUGUGGAUUGUCCUUUGGACAAUGGUAGGAGAGCGUUCUAAGGGCGUUGAAGCAUGAUCGUAAGGACAUGUGGAGCGCUUAGAAGUGAGAAUGCCGGUGUGAGUAGCGAAAGACGGGUGAGAAUCCCGUCCACCGAUUGACUAAGGUUUCCAGAGGAAGGCUCGUCCGCUCUGGGUUAGUCGGGUCCUAAGCUGAGGCCGACAGGCGUAGGCGAUGGAUAACAGGUUGAUAUUCCUGUACCACCUAUAAUCGUUUUAAUCGAUGGGGGGACGCAGUAGGAUAGGCGAAGCGUGCGAUUGGAUUGCACGUCUAAGCAGUAAGGCUGAGUAUUAGGCAAAUCCGGUACUCAUUAAGGCUGAGCUGUGAUGGGGAGAAGACAUUGUGUCUUCGAGUCGUUGAUUUCACACUGCCGAGAAAAGCCUCUAGAUAGAAAAUAGGUGCCCGUACCGCAAACCGACACAGGUAGUCAAGAUGAGAAUUCUAAGGUGAGCGAGCGAACUCUCGUUAAGGAACUCGGCAAAAUGACCCCGUAACUUCGGGAGAAGGGGUGCUCUUUAGGGUUAACGCCCAGAAGAGCCGCAGUGAAUAGGCCCAAGCGACUGUUUAUCAAAAACACAGGUCUCUGCUAAACCGUAAGGUGAUGUAUAGGGGCUGACGCCUGCCCGGUGCUGGAAGGUUAAGAGGAGUGGUUAGCUUCUGCGAAGCUACGAAUCGAAGCCCCAGUAAACGGCGGCCGUAACUAUAACGGUCCUAAGGUAGCGAAAUUCCUUGUCGGGUAAGUUCCGACCCGCACGAAAGGCGUAACGAUUUGGGCACUGUCUCAACGAGAGACUCGGUGAAAUCAUAGUACCUGUGAAGAUGCAGGUUACCCGCGACAGGACGGAAAGACCCCGUGGAGCUUUACUGUAGCCUGAUAUUGAAAUUCGGCACAGCUUGUACAGGAUAGGUAGGAGCCUUUGAAACGUGAGCGCUAGCUUACGUGGAGGCGCUGGUGGGAUACUACCCUAGCUGUGUUGGCUUUCUAACCCGCACCACUUAUCGUGGUGGGAGACAGUGUCAGGCGGGCAGUUUGACUGGGGCGGUCGCCUCCUAAAAGGUAACGGAGGCGCUCAAAGGUUCCCUCAGAAUGGUUGGAAAUCAUUCAUAGAGUGUAAAGGCAUAAGGGAGCUUGACUGCGAGACCUACAAGUCGAGCAGGGUCGAAAGACGGACUUAGUGAUCCGGUGGUUCCGCAUGGAAGGGCCAUCGCUCAACGGAUAAAAGCUACCCCGGGGAUAACAGGCUUAUCUCCC
rnacentral:rRNA from 1 species